UUAGAGGGACGUGCGGCAGACUAAGAGGGAGAGGAGUAGCAGCAUAAAGAUCGGUGGUCCCAGGAGUAUACAGCUCCCUUUUAUGGUUUGGAGCCAUAUUUACCAGUGUGAGGACUGAUAACGGUGGUGAAUAGUAUCGGGAGGCGUGACCGUGGCUGUACUAAUCUGGCUGUGCAGGAAGCUGAGUGCAUCGGGAGGCAGAGCUGACACACAGGAGAGGCAGGAAGAUGAGCAUCAAUGAGUACCCGGCAACUGCGGCCCUGUAUUCCAUUUCUGGAGGAGGAAGAAGACCAGAUUACCCGUUCUGUGCUGUAUUUAUGAUAAGGAAGGGCGGAAAAGGGCAUGUUAAAUUGUUUGACUGAAGGGCUCAGCUGAAGCAAUUGCUGAUCAGCUUCUUGCUGAGAACGGAGAUGAGGAGAAUUUUUUUUAUCUGUAAUUUUUUUUAAAGUAAAAAAGUUUAUUUGUAGUGUGAA